rnacentral:lncRNA from 1 species
GCAUCUUCUAUUGGAGAGAAAGGGUCAUCUCUGACAUGCAGUUCUUGUUCUCCACCAUCAUAUUCAUCUGUAAUUACACACAAAGUUGCUUUUGUGUGAACAGAAAUUAACCAUUGCAAAGGCUUAUCGUCGGCUACAUCAGCUGGGGUACAUUCAUGUUUGGAACUUUAAAUUUCAGUAGAAUCCGAAACUGUGGACUGUUAAUGUUGAGACUCUCAAAUAAUUUAUGUACAAGCUCUUCAUAUUCAAUAUCACGUCGAACAACAAUUGAUGUUGUUCGGUUGCCUAACCACUUCCACUCAUCGUCAAUGUUGACGAAUGUAUCACUGUAGGAGACAACGAAUCUUAUAACAUCAUCCACAUCUGCAUGCCAU